rnacentral:rRNA from 1 species
CCUACGGGUGGCAGCAGUGGGGAAUAUUGCGCAAUGGGCGAAAGCCUGACGCAGCGACGCCGCGUGAGGGAUGAAGGUCCUCGGAUCGUUAACCUCUGUCAGCAGGGAAGAACGGUCACUGUGCUAAUCAGCAGUGAAUUGACGGUACCUGCAAAGGACGCACCGGCUAACUCCGUGCCAGCAGCCGCGGUAAUACGGAGGGUGCGAGCGUUAAUCGGAAUUACUGGGCGUAAAGCGCUCGUAGGCGGUAUGUCAAGUCAAGGGUGAAAUCCCCGCGCUCAACGUGGGAACUGCCUUUGAUACUGGCAGACUGGAGUGUGUGAGAGGAUGGUGGAAUUCGAGGUGUAGGAGUGAAAUGCGUAGAUAUCUGGAAGAACAUCAGUGGCGAAGGCGACUAUCUGGCACAUAACUGACGCUGAGGAGCGAAAGCGUGGGUAGCAAACAGGAUUAGAUACCCGAGUAGUC